rnacentral:rRNA from 1 species
UACGGGGGGGGUAAGCGUUGUUCGGAAUUACUGGGCGUAAAGAGCUCGUAGGCGGUUUGUCGCGUCGUCUGUGAAAUCCCGCAGCUCAACUGCAGGCUGGCGGUCGAUGACGGGCAGGCUGGAGUUCGGUAGGGGAGACUGGAAUUCCUGGUGUAGCGGUGAAAUGACGCAGAUAUCAGGAGGAACACCGGUGGCGAAGGCGGGUCUCUGGGCCGAUGACUGACGUGAGGAGCGAAAGCGUGGGGAGCGAACAGG